GAUGAACGCUGGCGGCGUGCCUAAUACAUGCAAGUCGAGCGAACAGAUGAGGAGCUUGCUCCUCUGACGUUAGCGGCGGACGGGUGAGUAACACGUGGAUAACCUACCUAUAAGACUGGGAUAACUUCGGGAAACCGGAGCUAAUACCGGAUAAUAUAUUGAACCGCAUGGUUCAAUAGUGAAAGACGGUUUUGCUGUCACUUAUAGAUGGAUCCGCGCCGCAUUAGCUAGUUGGUAAGGUAACGGCUUACCAAGGCAACGAUGCGUAGCCGACCUGAGGGGGUGAUCGGCCACACUGGAACUGAGACACGGUCCAGACUCCUACGGGAGGCAGCAGUAGGGAAUCUUCCGCAAUGGCGAAAGCCUGACGGAGCAACGCCGCGUGAGUGAUGAAGGUCUUCGGAUCGUAAAACUCUGUUAUUAGGGAAGAACAAAUGUGUAAGUAACUAUGCACGUCUUGACGGUACCUAAUCAGAAAGCCACGGCUAACUACGUG
rnacentral:rRNA from 1 species